rnacentral:rRNA from 1 species
AUUGAACGCUGGCGGCAGGCCUAACACAUGCAAGUCGAACGGUAACAGGAAGCAGCUUGCUGCUUCGCUGACGAGUGGCGGACGGGUGAGUAAUGUCUGGGAAACUGCCUGAUGGAGGGGGAUAACUACUGGAAACGGUAGCGAAUACCGCAUAACGUCGCAAGACCAAAGAGGGGGACCUUAGGGCCUCUUGCCAUCGGAUGUGCCCAGAUGGGAUUAGCUAGUAGGUGGGGUAACGGCUCACCUAGGCGACGAUCCCUAGCUGGUCUGAGAGGAUGACCAGCCACACUGGAACUGAGACACGGUCCAGACUCCUACGGGAGGCAGCAGUGGGGAAUAUUGCACAAUGGGCGCAAGCCUGAUGCUGCCAUGCCGCGUGUAUGAAGAAGGCCUUCGGGUUGUAAAGUACUUUCAGCGGGGAGGAAGGGAGUAAAGUUAAUACCUUUGCUCAUUGACGUUACCCGCAGAAGAAGCACCGGCUAACUCCGUG